rnacentral:ncRNA from 2 species
AAACAGUAUAGAAUAGAACAUGUUAUUUUAAAGAUAAGACAGGGAAUGCGGUGAGAAUCCGCAGCAGCUCACUCUACUGUGAGGGAUGACGAAACCCGAUAUAUGCCACUGCCCGGGCCGGAGGGAAAACCGCCGGCCUGCGGGUGGGAAGGCGGGGGAGUAGGCUUUAGUUCCGAGCCAGGAUACCUGUGAAUACAGAACGUGAUCU